AAAUUUAAAAACAACACUAAAAGUCGUAGGCUUCAGUAUAUAGAUCAUUUACCGAAAAACUAAAUAUUUUCGUAGGGUUAACCCAUAGAUUUUGAGAAAAAUUCAAAAAAAUGAAAAUUCUAUUUUAAUGCAUAGUUGCAUCCUUCACUAACAUAUGAUGAAGGUCAAAGUGGUUUGGAACCUUUAUUGUCUCUGUUUUCCUAGGGAAUAGCGAUUUUAUAGUGGUUAGUCAACCAAUUUAGGGAGUAUUAUAAGUUUUACUAAUUUAAUUGACAAAAUAUUUAAACGAUGUCCAUGUACCAUUAAAGAGAGUUUAAUAAACAUUAAUAAAAAUGUAGAAUGUGUUUAAAUUUUUUAAAACAACACGAAAAAUCAUAGACUUCAGUAUAUACAGCAUUUACC